AGACCCGAAACCCGGUGAUCUAGCCAUGGGCAGGUUGAAGGUUGGGUAACACUAACUGGAGGACCGAACCGACUAAUGUUGAAAAAUUAGCGGAUGACCUGUGGCUGGGGGUGAAAGGCCAAUCAAACCGGGAGAUAGCUGGUUCUCCCCGAAAGCUAUUUAGGUAGCGCCUCGUGAAUUCAUCUCCGGGGGUAGAGCACUGUUUCGGCUAGGGGGCCAUCCCGGCUUACCAACCCGAUGCAAACUGCGAAUACCGGAGAAUGUUAUCACGGGAGACACACGGCGGGUGCUAACGUCCGUCGUGAAGAGGGAAACAACCCAGACCGCCAGCUAAGGUCCCAAAGUCAUGGUUAAGUGGGAAACGAUGUGGGAAGGCCCAGACAGCCAGGAUGUUGGCUUAGAAGCAGCCAUCAUUUAAAGAAAGCGUAAUAGCUCACUGGUCGAGUCGGCCUGCGCGGAAGAUGUAACGGGGCUAAACCAUGCACCGAAGCUGCGGCAGCGACACUGUGUGUUGUUGGGUAGGGGAGCGUUCUGUAAGCCUGCGAAGGUGGCCUGUGAGGGUUGCUGGAGGUAUCAGAAGUGCGAAUGCUGACAUAAGUAACGAUAAAGCGGGUGAAAAGCCCGCUCGCCGGAAGACCAAGGGUUCCUGUCCAACGUUAAUCGGGGCAGGGUGAGUCGACCCCUAAGGCGAGGCCGAAAGGCGUAGUCGAUGGGAAACGGGUUAAUAUUCCCGUACUUGGUGUUACUGCGAAGGGGGGACGGAGAAGGCUAUGUUGGCCGGGCGACGGUUGUCCCGGUUUAAGCGUGUAGGCUGGUUUUCCAGGCAAAUCCGGAAAAUCAAGGCUGAGGCGUGACGACGAGGCACUACGGUGCUGAAGCAACAAAUGCCCUGCUUCCAGGAAAAGCCUCUAAGCAUCAGGUAACAUCAAAUCGUACCCCAAACCGACACAGGUGGUCAGGUAGAGAAUACCAAGGCGCUUGAGAGAACUCGGGUGAAGGAACUAGGCAAAAUGGUGCCGUAACUUCGGGAGAAGGCACGCUGACACGUAGGUGAAGUGAUUUACUCAUGGAGCUGAAGUCAGUCGAAGAUACCAGCUGGCUGCAACUGUUUAUUAAAAACACAGCACUGUGCAAACACGAAAGUGGACGUAUACGGUGUGACGCCUGCCCGGUGCCGGAAGGUUAAUUGAUGGGGUCAGCGCAAGCGAAGCUCCUGAUCGAAGCCCCGGUAAACGGCGGCCGUAACUAUAACGGUCCUAAGGUAGCGAAAUUCCUUGUCGGGUAAGUUCCGACCUGCACGAAUGGCGUAAUGAUGGCCAGGCUGUCUCCACCCGAGACUCAGUGAAAUUGAACUCGCUGUGAAGAUGCAGUGUACCCGCGGCAAGACGGAAAGACCCCGUGAACCUUUACUAUAGCUUGACACUGAACAUUGAGCCUUGAUGUGUAGGAUAGGUGGGAGGCUUUGAAGUGUGGACGCCAGUCUGCAUGGAGCCAACCUUGAAAUACCACCCUUUAAUGUUU
rnacentral:rRNA from 1 species